CUGACUGGCAAAGUCUCCCCUGUAUUGUCUUUUCUUAGAUUCUUGCUUCUUAGUGUCCAACUGUCUUUGUCCCAUACUGAUGGUUAUUUUUUUCUUUGUGCUUAUAGGUCAUUGUUGGGAAAUAUAUGGUGAAUAUUCAUGUGUAUUGUCCAAAUACUGGGAAAGAGGAUUUGUAACUUUGCAGACUAUCAUUAAUGCUGCUAUUAUAGAAGUAAGUACCCACCUGAGAAGGUCUAAUGUUCAAUGUAAACUAAUCCCAAGGGCAUCAUGAUUGUUGUGAAAGUUGAUGCUUUUAGUCCAUUUAUGCUGUGAUUUAUCAACUACCUGAGACUGGGUGAUUUAAAAAGAACAGAAAUUUGUUUCUCACAGUUCUGGAACCUAUGAAAUGCUGAGAGUCUAUGUUCCUCACAGAUGUCACCAUCUAAGUGUCCUCACAUGGUGAAAGAGCAGAAGGGCAGAAAGGGCCUUAGUUGGUUCCCCACAGCCCUUGAUAAGGCACUAAUUCAUCCAUGAGGGUAGUACCACAUUCAUGAGGAUAGUUAUCUAAUCACUUCCCCCAAAGGCCUACCCCUUAUAUCACCACAGUGAUGAAGUUGCAAUGUGAAUUUAUAGAAGGGUCCCAUUCAAACCAAAGCAGUGAUGUAUACAGGUUUUCGUAUGUUUAUAUAAUGAAGCAGAUGUUCAGACAAGUGAACCCUGCCUAUUUUCAAACUUGUUUUUUGGUACUAGGGAUUGAACCUAAGGGUGCUUAACCACUGAGCAACAUCCCCAGAUCUUUCCAUUUUUUCAUUUUGAGACAGAGUCUCACUAUGUUUCAGGGGCUGGCGUUAAGUUCCUGCUUCUCCUGCCUGAGCUUCCAGAGUAUUUUCAAACUUUUAGUUUUUAAGUAGUUCUAAAAUCACAGGAAGCUGCAGGAAUUUACAGAGAGGUCCAUUUUACUAGUCACUCAUUUUCCCCUAAUGUAAAAAUCUUAUAUAGAAAUAGUAGAAUAUUGAAAUUGUUAUAAGUACAAACUGCAACACUGAUGCUGAUUUCAUCAAUUUCAGUUCCUUAAAUAAUGAUUCAUAUUUGUUUAAAUCCUUCUUUAGGUCACAACAAAUCACUCUGUGAUAGAUGAGUUGAUGUCAGUCACUGCUAUAAAUAUGAAGACAUUACCUUUUAUUUCUAAAGACAUUUUUCAAAGUGAGAUGUUCAUUUUAUACUGUUUGCUUUAUUUUUCCCCAUUUAUAUAUUUUGUAUCACACAAUGUUACAAAAGAGAGGAAAAAGAGUAAGGAACUGAUGAAAAUGAUGGGUCUACAUGAUUCAGCUUUCUGGUGAGUGAUACAUUCAAGUAGUUCCAGUUAAUAAAUGGAAACUCUGAAGCAGAAAAAAAUAUGUUAUUGCUUCAGAAUACCAUUGUUUAACCUUGAUAUAGUAACUACAUUAUCUUUUGCUGACUUGUUGAUUUAGUCUGUGUUAAAUUUUGUCAUGGAAAAUAAUGCUUACAGUUUGCUGAGUAAUUUUUCCUGUGCUGUGAAUAUCUUAAGCUAACUCUGUGAUAGAGGAACUCUCCUCUAGUUUAUAAAUAAGGAGAGUUAAAAUGAAAGAGGGUUGUUUGGUAUAUGUUGAGUAUCAGAGCUGCAACUCUAACCAAAGUGUCCUGAAGGCACCUCUCCUAAUUGAUCUACCCACAAUUAUCAGCUGAUUUCUCCAUUCUUCCUCAUGUUGAAGACAAAAAUAUAGGCUUAUGAAGGCUAAGUUGUGUUCAGGGGCUGGGCCCAAACAUAUAUUUUUUGGAGCAAGGAAAUAUCAUAUCUUGUUAAAUGAAGUAGCAUAUGGAACGCGUUCAGGAAAUACAACACCUGGGCUGACAUGUAGGAAGGGCCUCAUAAGAGCAUUUGCUUCAUAUAGUAGUAUUUAUAUCUUGCUUCAUUCCACACAUAAUUUAAAGUAUUUUGAAAUAUAUAUGUGUGAAUAUAUACACAUAACGAAAACAUUAAUAGAUGAGUUUAGUAAAGAGAAAUGUAAAUCAUACAACCCUCAACUCCCAAGACGUCAAACGGAAUUUUGCAAGACAUUCAGUGACAAAAUUCAUACUGCCUAGAAAAAGAGGAAAAGGAAAAAUAAUGUAUUUAUUUUACCCCAAAAGAAACAUUUUUGAUAUUGAAUCUGCAUGUAGUCCUCAUAUCAAUAAAAUAUUCUUUAUGCAUAUGGAACUACUUGGAAUGAAUGAAUAAUUAUUCACUUGAAAAAUCCCUUGAAAGCCAUGUGUUUCCUGAAAUAUAAUUAUGGUCUAGGAAAUUUUUAUUAUCUAUAAAAUAUAUUUACUAAUAGUGAUUUUUAAUUCUACUAUGUGUGAAUUGUGAAAUAGAAAAAGAGGAAACCAUAUGUUAAGAGAGGGAGAAUAAUUUUUUUGCAAUGGGACAUUUGGAAAUACAAAUAGCCAAUCACAAAAUCUGUUAGGAAGGAAGAGAGAUGGAACUCCUGUAAAAGGGGCCUACUUUAAAUCCAGGGCAUGUCCUAUAGAACAGAAUGACAGCAGUCACCUGUGAUCAGGAAAGUACCAGUCAAUCCCAUACUAAAGUGAGAAAAGUAUUAUACAUGUGCGUGUGAAUUCAUUCUUAGGAUAAUUUUUGGUAUGCAUCAAACCGAAAACUUAGCUAUAUAUAUAUUUACUUAUACAUCCUUAAAACAAAGACAGAAAAAGAUUCUGAUAUGUUUCUACUAAGUUCCAAAUGUGUCUAUUCAAAACAAAUUGAAUGACACUCUUUUACUGAUGUCAUGCAUGUGAAAAGUAAUCAUUAUUUAUUCUUUAAGUAUGAUGUCUAAAUUGCUUUAUUUUCAGCAUGAGGGUUUUUGUAGAUUUAACAUCUCUCUCCAAAUUCCUUCUAUCACUCCUAUAACUUUUUUUAGAUAAUGUUAAAAUCUCUUUCACUUGUGGUUCUCCUACAUUGUGGUUUUUAAUUUCCUACUUAAAGUAGUUCACUUCUGUACUCAGGAAGUGGAAUCUGAAGAAUGUGUUAUGCUUUUAAAAAUAUGCUGAUGCUUCUCACACAGGCUGAAUCACUGUAAUGAUGUGAAAUUUUAAAAGUCAAGUAACUCGUAAAUCUAGUAUAUACAUGUUCUACUGGGACAUAUUGAAUCAAGGUCCUGGUUUUAAUAUUUUUGUUAUAUUCUUCAGUUGUUAUAUUCUUAAUUAUGUGGUUUUAAGCAGAGGAACGAACUCUGGAGAGAGAGCGCUACAUAUGCACCUUGAUACUGGUUUACUUUGUGGCCCUGAGUAAAGCCAUUAACUAAUAAAGGGAUUGCAGCUUUCUUUUUUCUUUUUUUUUGUACAUUUCUUUUUAAAAUUUGUUAUUGAUUUUUUUAAAAAAUUAAUGACAGCAGAAUGCAUUACAAUUCUUAUUACAUAUAUACAGCACAAUUUUUUAUAUCUCUGGUUGUAUAUAAAGUAUGUUGACACCAAUUUGUGUCUUCAUACAGGUACUUUGGAUAAUGAUGACCAUCACAUUCCACCAUCCUUGCUAAUGCCUGCCUCCUCCCUUCCCCUCCCCAUCUAGAAUUCAUCUAUUCCUCCCAUGCUCCCCCUCCCUACACCAAUAUGAGUAAGCCUCCUUAUAUCAGAGAAAACAUUCAGCAUUUGUUUCUUGAGGAUUGGCUAACUUCACUUAGCAUUAUCUUCUCCAAUGCCAUCCAUUGACCUACAAAUGCCAUGAUUUUAUUCUUUUUCAUUGCUAAGUAAAAUUCCAUUGUGUAUAUAUGCCACAUUUUUUUAUCCAUUCAUCUACUGAAGGACGUCUAGGUUGGCUCCACAGUUUAGCUAUUGUGAAUUGUGCUGCUAUAAACAUUGAUGUGGCUGUGUCCCUAUAGUAUGCUACUUUUAAGUCCUUUGGGCCAAAGAGAGGGAUAGCUGGGUCAAUUGGUGGUUCCAUUCCCAGAUUUCCAAGGAAUCUCCAUACUGCUUUCCAUAUUGGCUGCACCAGAUUGCAGUCCCACCAGCAAUGUAUAAGUGUACCUUUUUCCCCACAUCCUCGCCAACACUUAUUGUUGUUUGUCUUCAUAAUAGCUGCCAUUCUGACUGGAGUGAGAUGAUAUCUUAGAGUGUUUUGAUUUCCAUCUUUCUAAUUGCUAGAGAUGAUGAAACAUUUUUUGAUAUAUUUGUUGAUUGAUUGUAUAUCCUCUUCUGAGAAGUGUCUGUUCAGGUCCUAGGCCCAUUUGUUGAUUGGUUUAUUUGGAUUUUUUUUUUUUGGUGCUUAGCUUCUUGAGUUCUUUAUAUACCCUAGAGAUUAGUGCUCUAUCUGAUGUGUGAGGGUUAAAAAUUUGCUCCCAGGAUUAGACUCUCUGUUCACCUUACAGAUUAUUUCUUUUGCUGAGAAGACACUUUUUAAUUUGAUUCCAUCCUAUUUAGUGAUAAGGUGGCAUCACUAUACCAGACCUUAAACUAUACUGCAGAGCAGUAGUAACAAAAACAUUAUAGUAUUGGCACCAAAACAGACUGGUAGACCAAUAAUACAGAAUAGAGGACACAGAGACUAACCCACAAAAUUACAAGUAUCUUAUAUUAGACAAAGGUGUCAAAAACAUGCAAUGGAGAAAAGAUAGCCUCUUCAACAAAUGGUGCUGGGAAAACUGGAAAUCCAUAUGCAACAAAAUGAAAUUAAACCUUAUCUCUCACCAUGCACAAAACUCAAAGUGGAUCAAGUUCCUAGGAAUUAAACCAGUGACUCUGUGCCUAAUAGAAGAAAAAGUAGGCCCUAAUCUUCAUUAUAUGGGAUUAGGGCCAAAUUUCCUUAAUAAGACUCACAUAGCACAAGAAUUAAAACCAAGAAUUGCAGCUUUCUUAUUUAUAAAAUAAGGCACUUGGGCUAAGGCACACUGUGGUCUUGUUAGAUCUAAAAUCUAGAUCUAAUAGAUCUAAUAGUCUGGAUAAAUACUUCAUAAAAAUGGGAAUAUGGGCACACCUGAAGCAAAUCAGCAUGAAAAUGUAAAUGCAUACCAUAAUUCAUGUCAGUUGCAGUAAAAAAAUUAUGAGUAUGAAUAGGAAGAAUACAUGAAAUUACUGAAGUUACAGACUUCAACUAUUAAAGGAGUGGAGGUGCUACCUGUGGAGACCCUCAAGAAUUAUUAUAUAUCCCUGAUGUUAGUAGACUUGAGUUAUUUGACCAGCAUCUGUUAAAUUUCCUUCCAAUUCUAUAAUUAGGACAAUUUGUUAAUAUCUAAUACAACUGAAGAUACCUAAUGCUUAUCUUUUUUAAUUCAAUAACUUCAUCUUAGAGAUGUUCUUAUUCAUUUACCCAGAAAAGACAAAUACAAGGAUGUUCUUAGCAAUAUUGUAAUAGAAAACAAAUCGAAGAACUCUACAUUUCAUGGGUAGGAGAACACUAGGAGACAACAAAGCCAUGCUGUUGUAUACAGUCACUAAAUUUGUUGUAGAAUCCUUUCCCAGGAUUGAAGCCUCUACCAGUGUACAGUAUCCAUCAUCUUUCUGUGAUAAGACAAUAAAAUUAUGUGGAAAUUAUAAACAGCACAUUUAGAGAACUGGGUACCUUCAUGGGAGAAUAAUGAUCAGGAAAUGGGUACACAGUGAACUUCUGUCAUAUUGAUACUAUAGCUGUUAACCUAGGUGUCAAGUAUAAGGGAAAUCAUUGUUAUUCUUUAGAUAUUUUUGAAUAUUCAAAACAUUUCUUAAUGAAAUUGAAAUAAUUAUGUAACUUUUUGUCUUUGCUUAGGUUGUCCUGGGGUUUAAUGUAUACUGCAUUCAUCUUGGUCCUUUCCAUAGUCAUUACAAUUAUCAUAACAUCCACCCAAGUUAUACUCAUGACUGGCUUUAUGGUCAUAUUUACACUCUUAUUCUUAUAUGGCUUGUCUUUGGUAAGUUCAUAUGUUUAUUCACACUGUCUCCCUUUGAGUUCUUAGCUACAAAUAGUAAAUAUUAGUGUCCCUGUAGGUUAGUAUAGUCCCUUUUUUCGUGUCCAGUGUGUGGCAUGGUAUCCAUUCCUAGUUAUCCCUUCUCCUUCUAAUAUUCUUUCCAUAUUGCUCUUUCUUCUCUGAAUGAGAUCCUCUAAUUUCUUCUACCUGCCAGGAUGUUUUCUGCAGAAGUUGUAGAUAGAUACCCUUCCUUAGCAUAUUAAUUCAUUUUAAUUUUUCCAAGUUUAUAUUUGUACCCUAUCCUCAGGUCUUUCAGCUUCCGCCCACUUCCUCAACAACAAAAGUCCACUAUCUGAGUAAGGUCAAUAAGGAUCCUCUUUUAGAGAAAAAGAAGAAGAAGAAGAACUGUGAACAGAACAGAAUCACUAUGCCUUACUAUUUUCAUUCUCACUGAUAAAUAUUUUUCAUGAUAUAGAGAUCCUUAUACCAGUGGUUCUCAGUGAAGUAAAUGUCUGCCAUAGCUAAGUAAGUGUGUUCUCUCUUUCAGCUAGCUUUAUCAUUCCUGAUGAGUGUGCUGUUACAGAAAGCUGUCCUCACAAAUUUGUUUGUGUUUCUCCUCACCCUCUUUUGGGGGUUUGUGGGAUUCACUGCCUUCUAUAAACAACUUCCUCCAUCUGUACAGUGGAUUUUGAGUAUUUGUAGCCCUUUCGCCUUUAGAGUUGGAAUGACUCAGGUAAAAAUAUUGCUAAUUAAUUAUUGAACUUUCAAAAGAACUUGAUACUUCACAAGUGAUUAUAAGCAACACUAUUUUCAUCCAGGAACCUUUAAGCAGUUUUUCUACUUCAAAACUAACUUUGAAAAUGUUCACUUUUCAGUGUACUAAUUAAGUGCUUCACAAGUUUCUCACGUUAUAAGAUCUGUUUCAUUUGUCACAUUGAAGAUAUUUUGAGAUACUGCAGUGACUUUAUAAAAACAAGCACAUGAGUCCUUAUUUAAACAUCUAUACUUAGAACAUUGUAUUUUUUUAAACCAGUGUUUUUAAAUAAUAUUCUUUUGUUUACCCUAAAGUGGAUGUGCUUUUUCUAGUUGUUUUAUUUACUAAAAAGCUAGUUAGUAAUAAUAAUUCUAGUUUUAAUAAUAAUAGUAAUUCUAAUAAUUCUGAAAGUAAUAGUUCUAAUAAUUCUUGAUGCAACUUAUAUAUUUAUUAACUUAAAUAUAUAUUGUGAUUUUUGGUUGAAUCUUAGAUUCUCCACCUGGAUUAUAACUUGAAUGGAGUAGUUUUCCCUGACCCCUCAGAAAAAUCAUAUACAAUGCUAGCAACAUUUUCUGUGUUGGCUUUUGAUGGUCUUAUCUACUUGAUGCUGGCACUGUACUUUGACAAAAUCUUACCCCG
rnacentral:lncRNA from 1 species